GACGAACGCUGGCGGCGUGCCUAAUACAUGCAAGUAGAACGCUGAAGGAGGAGCUUGCUUCUCUGGAUGAGUUGCGAACGGGUGAGUAACGCGUAGGUAACCUGCCUGGUAGCGUGGGAUAACUAUUGGAAACGAUAGCUAAUACCGCAUAAUAGUAGAUGUUGCAUUACAUUUACUUAAAAGGUGCAUUUGCAUCACUACCAGAUGGACCUGCGUUGUAUUAGCUAGUUGGUGGGGUAACGGCUCACCAAGUCGACGAUACAUAGCCGACCUGAGAGGGUGAUCGGCCACACUGGGAAUGAGACACGGCCCAGACUGCUACGGGAGGCAGCAGUAGGGAAUCUUCGGAAAUGGACGAAAGGCGGACCGAGCAACGCCGCGUGAGUGAAGAAGGUUAUCGGAGCGUAAAGCUCUGUUGUAAGAGAAGAACGAGGGUGAGAGGGGAAAGUUCACACUGUGACGGUAUCUUACCAGAAAGGGACGGCUAACUACGUG
rnacentral:rRNA from 1 species